GAAGCACGAAGAAGAAGAGGAAGAGAAAGUGAGAGAGAAUGGCGAAGCGUUUUGGGACAAUCGGAGUUCUUCAGGAGGAGGAGCGAGUGGAGGAAGCAUCCAAGGCUCAGCAAUCAGCUCUGUCAUGCCCUUCUCGGUCUUAGCCUCAGAGUCGACGAGCUGGUCUACAACAAACUCCUCCUUCCUCUUCUUCUUAUGCUUCUUCUUCUUCUCACCACUCUUCCCAUUCCUCUACUUCUCACUGACUCACUGAGACAACUAAAACAAUAACCUCAUCAGGAUGAUGGAUCUGUUAUAUGUAUAUUUUCUCUUUCUGGAAGUAAUGUCCAAGAUGGACAUUUAGCUGCUGGUCGUAAUGGUGUAAAGCGCCUCAGAACUAUAAGUUCUCAUCUGUUUUACUCUUUGAUGUGGUUAAACAACCAAAUAUUUUAUCAUUCCUUUAUAGUAUGGAGACUAAAACUUUUUGUGGUAAUACGACAAAGGUUGCUAUGUAUAUUGUCAUAGAGCCUGUUGUUCCACUAUUAGAAAAGAUCAAGGAACUAAAUUUGGAAGGUACA